GUAUACUAUUGAGGCAAGUAUACAAAAUAUAAAAAUGUUAAAUUAUCUAAAAAAUGAAGUUAAAUAAGUUUUAUAAGGUGAAAUUGUAAAAUUAUUAAAUUCUUUUGGUAAUUUUUAGAAAAUUUUGUAGAAAACUAGGAUUAGAUACCCUAUUAUUAAAAAAUUAUUUUUAUUAGGUAGUAAUGAAAUUUCUGAAACCUAAAGAAUUUGGCGGUACUUUAAAUAAUUGGAGGAACUUGUUAUUUAAUCGACAACCCACGACACAUCUUACCUAAAUUGAAUUUGUAUAUCGUCGUCUUAGAUAAUAUUUAUAAGUCAUAAUCAAGAAUAAUUUUAUUUCGUAAGUCAGAUCAAGGUGCAGUAUAUUUAGGUUAUAAUGAGUUACAAUAUAAUUAAUAUAUUACGGAUAAUAUUAGAAAAAUAGUUUUAAGGUGGAUUCAAAAGUAAAUUAAUUACAAUUUGGUGA
rnacentral:rRNA from 1 species